GCUUACGGCCAUACCACCCUGAGAACACCCGAUCUCGGAAGCUAAGCAGGGUCGGGCCUGGUUAGUACUUGGAUGGGAGACCGCCUGGGAAUACCAGGUGCUGUAAGCU
rfam:Takifugu rubripes genomic scaffold, scaffold_8313